rnacentral:rRNA from 1 species
GGCCUAUAGAUUAUAAUUUUAGGUCAAGCCUGCCCUAUGAGAGUUAAAUGGCCGCGGUAUAUUGACCGUGCAAAGGUAGCAUAAUCAAUAGUUUUUUAAUUGAAAGCUGGAAUGAAAGGUUAAAUGAAAAAAUUUCUGUCUCUUAAAUGAUUAAUUAGAAUUUUAUUUUUAAGUGAAAAAGCUUAAAUUUUUAUAGAAGACGAGAAGACCCUAUAGAGUUUUACAUUUUUAAGAGGAAGUGUAUUAUUAAGGUCAAAAAUUAGGCAUUACUUUUUAAAAUGUUUUAUUGGGGUGAUAAAAAAAUUAAUUAAACUUUUUUUAGAGUAAAACAUUAGUUUAUGAUAAUAUGAUCCUGAUUUUUGGAUUAAAAGAUAAAAUUACCUUAGGGAUAACAGCGUAAUAUUUUUUAGAGUUCUUAUCAAAAAGAAAGUUUGCGACCUCGAUGUUGGAUUAAAGUUUAUAAUUGGUAAGAAGCUAAUUGUUAAGUCUGUUCGACUUUUAAAACUUUACAUGAUCUGAGUUUAAACCGGCGUGAG